CAUGCAGGGGUCAAAAUCCAUUUUAGCAGUCCAAUAAACAAAUAAACAAGAAACAAAACAAGAACAGGCAAGAAAACAGACCUCGGAAGUGUUAGUGACAAUCAGCAACGAAUCCGUACACAAACUAACACAGACAGGAAAUAUAUACACAGAACUAACAAGACUAACACAGAACAGCUGGGAACAAUGAUUACGGGGAACAGCUGAGUGCAUUG